rnacentral:lncRNA from 1 species
CAUCUGUUUCCUUAAUCUUCAGGAGAUUGUCCAGGAAGGCAAGAAAUUUCUGUAGGGUUUCCAAAGUCAGGUCUGUGGUAGGAAAUAUUGGCAGAACAGCAGUGUCAAACCUAGCUUAAUGAUUUUUCCUUUUACUCAACACCUAUUGCAUAUGGAUAUAUAAAGAAGCAAUUUUGCCAGUUCCACAAAUGGAGUAGCCUAUUUUGACAAGAAACAAAUCAAGACACGAUGAAUCAGCAACAUUUUUAAAUGGCCUGCUUUAAAAUGCUUUACUUCUCGCUCAAGGAGACAAAUUUGCUCUUGCAGCCUAGUCCCAGAGGUUUCCCUUAGAAAGAGAGACAGCUCAGUUAUUUUCCUUCCUCAUCCAGAGGGGUGCCAAACCCAUAUUUCCAAUACACAGGUAUGUGCCCCAGACCUUAAACACCCAGCUGUGUUGGGUAGAGAAAACCUCCACCAUCCCAUGCAACCUUCAGCCAAAAGCCCAAAGGAGGGGUGUGGUGGUUUUACCGUACUGGGCAGCUAAACCCCACAACCGCUCUCU